rnacentral:rRNA from 1 species
AACGAACGCUGGCGGCAGGCCUAACACAUGCAAGUCGAACGCCCUAGCAAUAGGGAGUGGCAGACGGGUGAGUAACACGUGGGAACGUGCCCUUCGGUUCGGAAUAACUCAGGGAAACUUGAGCUAAUACCGGAUACGUGCGAGAGCAGAAAGAUUUAUCGCCGGAGGAUCGGCCCGCGUCCGAUUAGCUAGUUGGUGAGGUAAUGGCUCACCAAGGCGACGAUCGGUAGCUGGUCUGAGAGGAUGACCAGCCACACUGGGACUGAGACCCGGCCCAGACUCCUACGGGAGGCAGCAGUGGGGAAUAUUGGACAAUGGGCGCAAGCCUGAUCCAGCCAUGCCGCGUGAGUGAUGAAGGCCCUAGGGUUGUAAAGCUCUUUCGCCAGGGACGAUAAUGACGGUACCCGGAUAAGAAGCCCCGGCUAACUUCGUGCCAGCAGCCGCGUAA